rnacentral:rRNA from 1 species
GAUGAACGCUGGCGGCGUGCUUAACACAUGCAAGUCGAACGAUGAAGCCCAGCUUGCUGGGUGGAUUAGUGGCGAACGGGUGAGUAACACGUGAGUAACCUGCCCUUAACUCUGGGAUAAGCCUGGGAAACUAGGUCUAAUACCGGAUAGGAGCGCCUACCGCAUGGUGGGUGUUGGAAAGAUUUAUCGGUUUUGGAUGGACUCGCGGCCUAUCAGCUUGUUGGUGAGGUAAUGGCUCACCAAGGCGACGACGGGUAGCCGGCCUGAGAGGGUGACCGGCCACACUGGGACUGAGACACGGCCCAGACUCCUACGGGAGGCAGCAGUGGGGAAUAUUGCACAAUGGGCGCAAGCCUGAUGCAGCGACGCCGCGUGAGGGAUGACGGCCUUCGGGUUGUAAACCUCUUUCAGUAGGGAAGAAGCGAAAGUGACGGUACCUGCAGAAGAAGCACCGGCUAACUACGU